rnacentral:miRNA from 1 species
GCCCCGGCGCGGGCGGGUUCUGG